rnacentral:lncRNA from 1 species
CUCUUGACUCAGAGGUAUACACCACGCUCCAUGUUAUAUCGCUGGAAGGAAAAGAGAUGAGGAUUUCUUUUGAGCCUCUUCAGGUAGAAAAAUAAUGUAGGAUCAUCUAGAGGUACAGUAUGUUUGGGUAAGUGUUCUAAAAGGCAGUGGGUUGGAUUUAAAACCUCUUCUCCAGCCAGCAUUCCAAAUAGGAGGGACGUGGGUGGAACCUCUCAGACCUUUUUCCGUGUUCUCUUCUUCUCUAAGGCAGAACACUACUGAAAUGCAAAAGCCUCUUCCCUUUUCUGUCCACCUUUUCUCCAAACUCUGGGGAGAGAGGUCUAUUACUAACACUCUGUUAGUCAGUAAGAAAAGGCCCAGAGAACUGUCAGCUAGAAUCUGGUGAAUGCAGGGCGGGUAGUGGAGAGUCUCUGGCUGUCGAUCUUGUGCCAUCUAGUUCUUUCCUGGGAUAUGGGUGGGAGGUGUUCCAGGAGCGAGGCAGCAUGUCCAGUGGUGGGAUGGGGCAGAUGCCAGGACGGAUGAUGAUCUGGUCCCAGCACGUCAGAAGGAAACUGGCUUUAGGCUGCUCUGAGGUUUCCACUGGAGACCAGCAUUCCUCUGAGUAAUGCUUUUCCUUUCCCCUCCUGGCUUCACACAGAGCUUGGCUGGGGAGAUUUUUCUUUUCUUUCCAGUGAGUACAUUUAUUGAUUUUCACAAACAGACACCAUCAUGGGCUAAACAUCUAGGAAAUCUUAAUUUUCUUCCCAGCCAACCCAGCCAUUCGUUCUCCACCACUCCCAGGAAGCCCCAGGAACUGCCGCUGACCUCGCCUCGCUGCACAUUGCCUAUUUAUCUGUGAGAUGGCUCCAGAAAAGAAGGUGAGAGGCACCAGCUUAGAUGCUACUAAUUAGCA